rnacentral:rRNA from 1 species
UACGUAGGGCGCGAGCGUUGUCCGGAAUUAUUGGGCGUAAAGAGCUCGUAGGCGGCUCAGUAAGUCAGGUGUGAAACCUCCAGGCUCAACCUGGAGACGCCACCUGAUACUGCUGUGGCUAGAGUCCGGUAGGGGAGCGUGGAAUUCCUGGUGUAGCGGUGAAAUGCGCAGAUAUCAGGAGGAACACCAGCGGCGAAGGCGGCGCUCUGGGCCGGAACUGACGCUGAGGAGCGAAAGCGUGGGUAGCAAACAGG